GUGGGGAAUAUUGGACAAUGGGGGGAACCCUGAUCCAGCCAUGCCGCGUGUGUGAAGAAGGCCUUAUGGUUGUAAAGCACUUUAAGCGAGGAGGAGGCUCUUUUGGUUAAUACCCAAGAUGAGUGGACGUUACUCGCAGAAUAAGCACCGGCUAACUCUGUGCCAGCAGCCGCGGUAAUACAGAGGGUGCGAGCGUUAAUCGGAUUUACUGGGCGUAAAGCGUGCGUAGGCGGCUUUUUAAGUCGGAUGUGAAAUCCCCGAGCUUAACUUGGGAAUUGCAUUCGAUACUGGGAAGCUAGAGUAUGGGAGAGGAUGGUAGAAUUCCAGGUGUAGCGGUGAAAUGCGUAGAGAUCUGGAGGAAUACCGAUGGCGAAGGCAGCCAUCUGGCCUAAUACUGACGCUGAGGUACGAAAGCAUGGGGAGCAAACAGG
rnacentral:rRNA from 2 species